rnacentral:lncRNA from 1 species
UUCAGCAGAACCAGAGCUACUCCCCUGGAAUCCAACCAGUAAGCUGUUAUCAGAAUUCUCCAGCCACUCCUGGAUACCAUUGCCAACAAGCUGGAAAGAACUGUGUAGGAGGAAAUGCCAGACUUGCUGAGUCAGGCAACUUCUUCAACCCAAGGUUGACUGGAAAUGAGCGUGACUGCAUCCAUGGGAACACAGGAAGCACCUACUCAAUGCUUGGCCCUAUAAAAUCGUAAUGAUCCCGUGAAGCAAGU